rnacentral:rRNA from 2 species
ACGGGAGGCAGCAGUGGGGAAUAUUGGACAAUGGGGGAAACCCUGAUCCAGCGACGCCGCGUGAGUGAAGAAGUAUUUCGGUAUGUAAAGCUCUAUCAGCAAGGAAGAAAAUGACGGUACUUGACUAAGAAGCCCCGGCUAACUACGUGCCAGCAGCCGCGGUAAUACGUAGGGGGCAAGCGUUAUCCGGAUUUACUGGGUGUAAAGGGAGCGUAGACGGUCAUGCAAGUCUGAAGUGAAAGCCCGGGGCUCAACCGCGGGAUUGCUUUGGAAACUGUAGGACUAGAGUGCAGGAGAGGUAAGUGGAAUUCCUAGUGUAGCGGUGAAAUGCGUAGAUAUUAGGAGGAACACCAGUGGCGAAGGCGGCUUACUGGACUGUAACUGACGUUGAGGCUCGAAAGCGUGGGGAGCAAACAGGAUUAGAUACCCUGGUA